rnacentral:rRNA from 1 species
UACGGAGGGUGCAAGCGUUGUCCGGAAUCAUUGGGCGUAAAGGGCGCGUAGGUGGCCCGGUCAGUUCGUGGUGAAAGCGCGGGGCUCAACCCUGCGUCGGCCAUGAAUACUGCCGCGGCUGGAGCACUGUAGAGGCAGGCGGAAUUCCGGGUGUAGCGGUGGAAUGCGUAGAGAUCCGGAAGAACACCGGUGGCGAAGGCGGCCUGCUGGGCAGUUGCUGACACUGAGGCGCGACAGCGUGGGGAGCAAACAGG